CAAGUCGAGCGAACGGACGAGAAGCUUGCUUCUCUGAUGUUAGCGGCGGACGGGUGAGUAACACGUGGAUAACCUACCUAUAAGACUGGGAUAACUUCGGGAAACCGGAGCUAAUACCGGAUAAUAUUUUGAACCGCAUGGUUCAAAAGUGAAAGACGGUCUUGCUGUCACUUAUAGAUGGAUCCGCGCUGCAUUAGCUAGUUGGUAAGGUAACGGCUUACCAAGGCAACGAUGCAUAGCCGACCUGAGAGGGUGAUCGGCCACACUGGAACUGAGACACGGUCCAGACUCCUACGGGAGGCAGCAGUAGGGAAUCUUCCGCAAUGGGCGAAAGCCUGACGGAGCAACGCCGCGUGAGUGAUGAAGGUCUUCGGAUCGUAAAACUCUGUUAUUAGGGAAGAACAUAUGUGUAAGUAACUGUGCACAUCUUGACGGUACCUAAUCAGAAAGCCACGGCUAACUACGUGCCAGCAGCCGCGGUAAUACGUAGGUGGCAAGCGUUAUCCGGAAUUAUUGGGCGUAAAGCGCGCGUAGGCGGUUUUUUAAGUCUGAUGUGAAAGCCCACGGCUCAACCGUGGAGGGUCAUUGGAAACUGGAAAACUUGAGUGCAGAAGAGGAAAGUGGAAUUCCAUGUGUAGCGGUGAAAUGCGCAGAGAUAUGGAGGAACACCAGUGGCGAAGGCGACUUUCUGGUCUGUA
rnacentral:rRNA from 1 species